UUUCCAGAGAUGGAUUGGUGCCUUCGGGAACUCUGACACAGGUGGCUGCAUGGCUGUCGGUCAGCUCGUGUCGUGAGAUGUUGGGUUAAGUCCGUAACGAGCGCAACCCUUGUCCUUAGUUACCAGCACGUUAUGGUGGGCACUCUAAGGAGACUGCCGGUGACAAACCGGAGGAAGGUGGGGAUGACGUCAAGUCAUCAUGGCCCUUACGGCCUGGGCUACACACGUGCUACAAUGGUCGGUACAAAGGGUUGCCAAGCCGCGAGGUGGAGCUAAUCCCAUAAAACCGAUCGUAGUCCGGAUCGCAGUCUGCAACUCGACUGCGUGAAGUCGGAAUCGCUAGUAAUCGUGAAUCAGAAUGUCACGGUGAAUACGUUCCCGGGCCUU
rnacentral:rRNA from 1 species